UAUGGUCACAUCAUGUUGAAACACCAGUUCCCGUAAGAUUAAGAAAGUUAAGCAAUGUUCAGCUUGGUUAGUACCUAAAUGGUUGACCUGCUUGGGAAUGCUGGGUGCUGUAAG